rnacentral:rRNA from 1 species
UACAGAGGUCCCAAGCGUUGUUCGGAUUCACUGGGCGUAAAGGGUGCGUAGGUGGUCGGGUAAGUCUGAUGUGAAAGCUCUGGGCUCAACCCAGAAAUGGCAUUGGAUACUAUCCGGCUAGAGGAAUGGAGGGGGGACUGGAAUACUUGGUGUAGCAGUGAAAUGCGUAGAUAUCAGGAGGAACACCGGUGGCGAAGGCGGAUCUCUGGGCCUUACCUGACGCUCAGGCACGAAAGCUAGGGGAGCGAACAGG